UACGGAGGGGGCUAGCGUUGUUCGGAAUUACUGGGCGUAAAGCGCACGUAGGCGGCUUUGCAAGUCAGAGGUGUAAGCCCGGGGCUCAACCCCGGAAUUGCCUUUGAGACUGCAUCGCUAGAAUUGUGGAGAGGUAGGUGGAAUUCCGAGUGUAGAGGUGAAAUUCGUAGAUAUUCGGAAGAACACCAGUGGCGAAGGCGACUUACUGGACACAUAUUGACGCUGAGGUGCGAAAGCGUGGGGAGCAAACAGG
rnacentral:rRNA from 1 species